rnacentral:rRNA from 1 species
CGGCAACAGCUCAAAUUUGAAAUCUGGCUCUUUCAGGGUCCGAGUUGUAAUUUGUAGAAGAUGCUUCGGGUGAGGCUCUGGUCUAAGUUCCUUGGAACAGGACGUCAUAGAGGGUGAGAAUCCCGUCUUGGACCGGC